CCUACGGGUGGCAGCAGUGGGGAAUAUUGGACAAUGGGGGGAACCCUGAUCCAGCCAUGCCGCGUGUGUGAAGAAGGCCCUCGGGUUAUAAAGCACUUUCAGUGAGGAAGAACGCCUGGUGGUUAAUACCCAUCAGGAAAGACAUCACUCACAGAAGAAGCACCGGCUAACUCCGUGCCAGCAGCCGCGGUAAUACGGAGGGUGCGAGCGUUAAUCGGAAUUACUGGGCGUAAAGCGCGCGUAGGUGGCUUGAUAAGCCGGUUGUGAAAGCCCCGGGCUCAACCUGGGAACGGCAUCCGGAACUGUCAAGCUAGAGUGCAGGAGAGGAAGGUAGAAUUCCCGGUGUAGCGGUGAAAUGCGUAGAGAUCGGGAGGAAUACCAGUGGCGAAGGCGGCCUUCUGGACUGACACUGACACUGAGGUGCGAAAGCGUGGGUAGCAAACAGGAUUAGAUACCCUUGUAGUC
rnacentral:rRNA from 1 species